rnacentral:rRNA from 1 species
UCGCGAAAACUUUACAAUGCUGGCAACAGCGAUAAGGGAACCUCGAGUGCCAGGUUACAGAUCUGGCUGUCGAGAUGCCUAAAAAGCAUUUCAUAGCAAGGGCCGGGCAAGACCGGUGCCAGCCGCCGCGGUAACACCGGCGGCUCGAGUGGUAACCGUUAUUAUUGGGUCUAAAGGGUCUGUAGCCGGCCGGAUAAGUCUCUUGAGAAAUCUGGCAGCUUAGCUGUCAGGCUUUCAGGAGAUACUGUCUGGCUCGAAGCCGGGAGAGGUGAGAGGUACUUCAGGGGUAGGGGUGAAAUCUUGUAAUCCUUGAAGGACCACCAGUGGCGAAGGCGUCUCACCAGAACGGACCUGACGGCAAGGGACGAAAGCUAGGGGCACGAACC